rnacentral:rRNA from 1 species
UACGAAGGGGGCUAGCGUUGUUCGGAAUUACUGGGCGUAAAGCGCGUGUAGGCGGGUCUUUAAGUCCGGGGUGAAAUGCCAAGGCUCAACCUUGGAACUGCCUUUGAUACUGGAGAUCUUGAGUCCGGGAGAGGUGAGUGGAACUGCGAGUGGAGAGGUGAAAUUCGUAGAUAUUCGCAAGAACGCCAGUGGCGAAGGCGGCUCACUGGCCCGGAACUGACGCUGAGACGCGAAAGCGUGGGGAGCAAACAGG